GUACACUCCUACGGGAGGCAGCAGUGGGGAAUAUUGGACAAUGGGCGCAAGCCUGAUCCAGCCAUGCCGCGUGAGUGAUGAAGGCCCUAGGGUUGUAAAGCUCUUUCACCGGUGAAGAUAAUGACGGUAACCGGAGAAGAAGCCCCGGCUAACUUCGUGCCAGCAGCCGCGGUAAUACGAAGGGGGCUAGCGUUGUUCGGAUUUACUGGGCGUAAAGCGCACGUAGGCGGACUAUUAAGUCAGGGGUGAAAUCCCGGGGCUCAACCCCGGAACUGCCUUUGAUACUGGUAGUCUUGAGUUCGAGAGAGGUGAGUGGAAUUCCGAGUGUAGAGGUGAAAUUCGUAGAUAUUCGGAGGAACACCAGUGGCGAAGGCGGCUCACUGGCUCGAUACUGACGCUGAGGUGCGAAAGCGUGGGGAGCAAACAGGAUUAGAUACCCUUGUAGUCCCAUGA
rnacentral:rRNA from 1 species